AUAGGUUCUUUAAGGAAUUAAAGAAGAAGAAGAUACAUAAACUUAACAAUUUCAGAAAUUGAGAACCUCAUGAGUCAUGACUGAAGUAGAUAAUUGCCAGUGCCUCAAUUUCCUCCAAAUUAGCUAUAACGGAUGUGCUCUCCAUAUAGCACCGGAGUUCGAAUCCCCCUUCACGUAGUUUGGUUUAGAUCGUUUGUUUAAUUAUUCCUGCGUGAGUCCCAGAGGAAGGGUAGGAGGAAGAAGCGUCACGCCCCUAAUUCCCCUCCUCUUUGAUUCCGUAGUAUGGCAACGUCCAGUUGUUUCUUGGAGUGGACCCGUUUGCUUUGUUUGAACGCAGUCGAAGUCGGAUCCCCACUUCAACUGAAUGAAUGAAUCAAAUCAAAUCAAAACGAUUGCUCUGCUCUAUCUCAUCAGAUAGAGAGACGAGGGAGGGAGGAGAGAGGGAGAGACACACAGAGUGUAGAGUGUUUGGUGCUCAUACUAUUAUAAAACGACGUCGUGUUUGGACCUCAACUCUCUAGAGACAGAGACGAAGACAAAGGCAGAGAGAGAGAUAGAAUGGCGCUUCCCAUGGAAAUUGGCUUAGCAAUCGCGGUGUUUUUUUAAGGCGGUGGAGAUGGAAUCGGACGGUCGAGUUUUUAUCAAAAAUAACCAAAAUUUACCUCAUACUUUCAUAAAUGUCAGUUUUUAUAAAAACUUUCAAAAAUAGCCAAAAACUCACUUAAAAAUACUCAAAUGCCUUCAAAACUAAAACCCACAAAAACCUAAAAAAGCAAAACAUGAAACCUGUAAUCUAUGUUUUCAUUUGACUUUAAACAUAAAAACUCCCCUAUGUUAGUAUCUGUUGUCUCUGUCAUUGGGCUCGAAGCUUUGGUAUUAUUUGUUGUCGUCAGCCAUGUUGAUGCUAUCACCAUUGGAGGCCACGCACAACCCUUUGUCAACCAUAUAUGGACUUCAAAGCUGCUAAUUAGAUUCUGAUAUGAACUUUAACAUUGCAGAGAUGAAUCAAUAACUCUAUGAAUGCCUUGUUAAAUAUAUAAUACAAAUAUAUGGCUUAUUAGAGAUAAUUAAGUAAUUAGAUAAUGAAGAUGAAAGUGAUCAUAGAACAAAAGCUUUGCUUCAACUCAGUGUUGGGUGCAUGCAGUACUCGGACUAGCUAGGAAUCAAGUCAUAUUCAUC
rnacentral:lncRNA from 1 species